rnacentral:antisense_RNA from 20 species
UUCAAUGGUGGCUGUGCGUGGGGCGCCUUCGGGUGCGCCGGGUUUCUCAAUUUGACCGGUCUGUCAACCCGUGCACAGCUGCCACCCU